rnacentral:lncRNA from 1 species
GGGGCCCGGAACGGCCCGAAAUCGGCCACGCAAGCCCGCAGCUUGGCUGGAAAUUCUGUUCCCACGCUGUUGAUCUUGCUGAUUUGAUGAAGAGGGGCCUUCAAGCAGCUGAACGGAGCGGCCAAGAGAUCGAGGAACGGUGGCUGAUGGGCUUGGCGAGCGGAGCUGCUGCGGCUGAGUUCUAACGAAACGGGGGUGACGCUGGCGGAGAGGUGCCGCUGGUUUCGGUGGCUUCGCUGGGUUGAUGAAGGAACGAACGCGCGGCUUCGUGGCUGGGUCAACAUAUUCACUGAAGAAGCAACUUCGGUUUCACUAGCUGACCGAAGAUGGCUGCGCCGCGGAUGUGUGGCCAAGGGUUGCAGGGGCUGU